GACGAACGCUGGCGGCGUGCUUAACACAUGCAAGUCGAACGGAAAGGCCCUGCUUUUGUGGGGUGCUCGAGUGGCGAACGGGUGAGUAACACGUGAGUAACCUGCCCUUGACUUUGGGAUAACUUCAGGAAACUGGGGCUAAUACCGGAUAGGAGCUCCUGCUGCAUGGUGGGGGUUGGAAAGUUUCGGCGGUUGGGGAUGGACUCGCGGCUUAUCAGCUUGUUGGUGGGGUAGUGGCUUACCAAGGCUUUGACGGGUAGCCGGCCUGAGAGGGUGACCGGCCACAUUGGGACUGAGAUACGGCCCAGACUCCUACGGGAGGCAGCAGUGGGGAAUAUUGCACAAUGGGCGGAAGCCGGAUGCAGCAACGCCGCGUGCGGGAUUACGGCCUUCGGGUUGUAAACCGCUUUCGCCUGUGACGAAGCGUGAGUGACGGUAAUGGGUAAAGAAGCACCGGCUAACUACGUG
rnacentral:rRNA from 1 species